rnacentral:lncRNA from 1 species
CAAGACCCAGCCGAAUCCAAACGUCCUCCCAAACCAACCAAUCUUUAUCCAAACUUCCCCAGCUUCACGGAUUAGAACCGGAUCCCAGCUUCUUCCCCAGCCGUAUCCUUCGUCCGUGAUCCACCUUCAUCCCAAUCCGGAUUUCUUCUCAGCCACAUCAAGCUAACAACAGCAUCCUCUUCCCCUGUUUCGAAACAGCAACCUUCUUCCGGAUUAAUCUCCACGUCACCUCCUCCCAGAUUUCGUCUGCAAUCAACCCACGAUUUGGCUUCAUCCCAUUCGAAUCAAACACUCCAUCCAAGCUUCACGGAACAGAGCAUCCUCUCCCGGAUAAGCUCAAGUCCCAGCUGCCAGCCGCCCGCGUCUUGCAUCACUCCCCUGUUCCGAGAUCUUCUCACACACCCACAGCCGAAUGAUCCCAACUAGAUUCCGCUAGCUCCCAGCCUUCCUAUCAUCAUCCAAGCCCCAUCCUCUUCUCCGAAUAACAUCCAAGAUACGUCCCAGUUCCCCUGUUCUGAAUUCAUCUUUAUCCCACGGAUCAACCAUCAACCGAAUCAUCCCAGCUUCCAAACCAACCGAGAUCCUUCUUUCUCCCAUGGGAUAAGCACCAAAUCCAGCAGGACUUCAUCUUUUGGAUCAGCUUCCUCGGCUUCAUCCUCCCGAGCUUCACGACAUCCAAGUUUUUCUUUCCAACUUAUGGAUCAACUCCAUUCUUCCGAAUCCCUGCAUCACAGAACAGAGUAUCCCAACCUCCUUCCGGAUUCGCCAUCUCAGCGGUUCUCCGUGAUUCAUCCAUAUCCCGCGCCCGAGUUGAAGCUCCCUCCUCUGCGUGUCCGGAUGAAAGCCAGCACAGAUCACGCACACCAAGCUUCCAUCCGUUCAGCCUUCGAUAUCCACGGAUAAGCUUAAAUCCCUUGCUUCGCGUCUGGAAUCCAGCAGCAUCGCGAGCGUAUCCUCACAUCUCGAUCACUUCCCACAGAUAAGUCCAAGCUUAUUGAGGUGGGCAGCCUAUAAAAGGCCAAGCCAGGAAACAGAGAAGGCAUUCCCUCUUCCCCACCGGGGGGGCAUUCCCUCUUCCCCCACCGGGGCUGCUCCCAUCAUCACUUCUCAGAGGCGGAAUCCCACAUAGUUCACCAGGAGAAGAAGAAGCUUGGGUUCACAGGCCGAAUCCCAUAGAGCCAGGAGAGAGAAACCUUUUGGGUAUUUUGGGAAUAUUUCCUAAAGGAAGAAAUAAAGAAGGACCGAUCUGCUGCUACUGUGCUGCUGCC